rnacentral:lncRNA from 1 species
CGGGCAGGAGUGGAUGUGUCAACCUGCAGAAAGGCAAGGCCGUAGAGCCGAAGCACUUUCUGACUAAGUCAUCCGCGGCAUCAGGGUCUGCUUGACAGCGUCAGACCAGGUGUCAGUAGGCAUAGUAACGCCCCCCUCAGUGGUGCUGUGACACCAGCAUCGUCACUCAUACAAUUAUAACAACCGUUUCAUUGGCAGCUAGCAAUGCAGCAAUCACACAACUACGUAAAUACAAAUAGAACAGGUGCUACGUGGAAAGAAACAUUAGAGGAGGAGCACCUGACCCCGCAGGACUUUAAACAGUACAAUGAGUAUUAACCAGUGGUGAGAAGGCCGUGUAGGAGGGAGAACAUUUGAGCAGGGAGGACAGGCAGGAAGCAAGGUGUGAUUGGAACAAACCUGAAGCAGCUGAGGAUGGCCGGUGCGUGGAGAGCAGGGCGCCGCAUGGACUGCAAGAGGUUGGAGAGGAAAGUCAAAGCACUGAGUCGGAUAACUGGUAUCAAGGAAACACAAAGGGUCAUAAGAGUCUACAUCCCAACAAACUGGACAACCUAGAAGAAAUGGGAAAAUUCUUAGAAACAUACAACCUGCUAAGACUGACUCAGGAAGAAAAUGAAAGUCUAAACCUAUCAGUUGCUAGUAAGAAGAUCAAAUCAGUAAUAAAAAAUCUCCCAAAAAUACAAGCCCAGGACCAGAUGGCUUCACGGUUAAGUUAUAUCAAACAUGAAAAGAAGAAUUAAUGCCAAUCCUUCUCAAAUUCUUCCAAAAAAUUUAAGAGAAAGGAACACUUCCAAACUCAUUAUAUGAGGUCAGCCUGAUACCAAAGCCAAACAAGGAUGCUACAAGAAAAGAAAGGUAUAGGCCAAUAUCCCAGAUAAAAAUUGAUGCAAAAAUCCUCAACAAAAUAUUAGCAAACUGAAUUCAACAGCAUAUUAAAAGGAUCCUACACCAUGAUCAAGUGGGAUUUAUCCCUGGGAUGCCAGAAUGUCUCAACUUAGGCAAAUCAAUAAGCUACAUUAACAGAGAGGAGAAUAAAAACCAUAAGAUCAUUCAAUAGAUGCAGAAAAAGCAUUUGACAAAAUUCAGCAUCUUUUCAUGAUUAAAAAAAAAAAAAAACCUCUCAACAAGCUAGGUAUAGAAGGAAAGGAUUUCAGCAUAAUAAAGGCCAUAUAUAGACCAGCCCACAGCUGUCAUCAUACUCACCAAUUCUAAAAAGAAAGGGCAAAGAACUGGCUAUAUUCUGUAUUCCUUCAAGUGUAGAGAGGGUGUUAAAAUACUUUAGUCCAGUGUUUCCCCACUUAUCUUUUCAUUAUUCCCCCCAAGGAGAAAACUAAGUUAAUUUAAUUCAAGUUAAAGAGAGAAAUUAGAUACUAAACUUAAGAUUUUUUCAAAUAGGGUUAUGCUUUUGAGAAACAUAAAACCCUUGCAAUAGCUCAGACUUUUUUCACCCCACCCCUUGUAACAAAUUGUACCCCCUGUGGAAUAUAUUGCUCCCACCAAGAAUGCACGCAUUAGCCAACCCAGUUCCUUGAAUACCUAUAAUUUCACCAUAAAUAAG